UUUUUCCGUUUUAGCUUCGGUUGUCAUAGGCUGUGCUGUCGCUUUCUCUGGGAAAGGACGGUGAAGACUGGACGGGAGAAACCGGGAGGGCAGGCGCGGCCGUUCUGCAGCAGCCGGGCCGCUUCCCGGCGGGAGGCGGGCUGCGAAUGGGAAGCGGGAGGAGGAGGCCGGGCCGCGGGCUGGUUCUAUCACCCCCUUGGGAGCCCAGCUCUUCACCUAGCUCUCCGGCGCUUUUCAAAAUCUGCAGUUAACAACAAAAAUCGAGCAACGCCACGUCGCACAAACAGGACAGGAGGGGGCGAGGGGCCAGGCUCGCCGCGGGGCGCUGAGCAGGCCGGGACACCGCGGCCGAGGUUAUCGUUAGGCAUCUCCCAGGCGACCGGCUCCGCAGCAAGAUGGCGGACGAGAAGGACAGGGAAGGUAAGGUAGGGGAGCCGGGGAGCCGCUGCCCUCGCCGCCCGCCGCGACCCCGG
rnacentral:lncRNA from 1 species